GCGGCAAGGGGGGGGCUACUACAUGCAGUCGAGCGGACAGAUGGGAGCUUGCUCCCUGAUGUUAGCGGCGGACGGGUGAGUAACACGUGGGUAACCUGCCUGUAAGACUGGGAUAACUCCGGGAAACCGGGGCUAAUACCGGAUGGUUGUUUGAACCGCAUGGUUCAGACAUAAAAGGUGGCUUCGGCUACCACUUACAGAUGGACCCGCGGCGCAUUAGCUAGUUGGUGAGGUAACGGCUCACCAAGGCGACGAUGCGUAGCCGACCUGAGAGGGUGAUCGGCCACACUGGGACUGAGACACGGCCCAGACUCCUACGGGAGGCAGCAGUAGG
rnacentral:rRNA from 1 species